rnacentral:rRNA from 1 species
AUUGAACGCUGGCGGCAGGCCUAACACAUGCAAGUCGAACGAGGGGCGGACGGGUGCGUAAUGUCUGGGAAACUGCCUGAUGGAGGGGGAUAACUACUGGAAACGGUAGUUAAUACCGCAUACCAUCAGAUGUGCCCAGAUGGGAUUAGAUUGUUGGUGGGGGAACGGCUCACCAAGGCGACGAUCCCUAGCUGGGCGUAGAGGAUGACCAGCCACAAUGGAAUUGAGACACGGUCCAGAUUCGUACGGGAGGCAGCAGUGGGGACAAUUGCACAAUGGGCGCAAGCCUGAGGCAGCCAUGCCGCGUGUAUGAAGAGGGCCUUCGGGUUGUAAAGUACUUUCAGCGGGGAGGCGUUACCCGCAGAAGAAGCACCGGCUAACUCCGUGCCAGCAGGCGCGGUAAUUC